rnacentral:rRNA from 1 species
AUUGAACGCUGGCGGCAGGCCUAACACAUGCAAGUCGAACGAGUGGCGGACGGGUGAGUAAUGUCUGGGAAACUGCCCGAUGGAGGGGGAUAACUACUGGACACGGUAGCUAAUACCGCAUACCAUCCGUGGUGCCCAGAUGGGAUUAGCUAGUAGGUGGGGUAACGGCUCACCUGGGCGACGAUCCCUAGCUGGUCUGAGAGGAUGCCCAGCCACACGGGAACUGAGACACGGUCCAGAUUCCGACGGGAGGCAGCGGGGGGGAAUAGUGCACAAUGGGCGCAAUCCGGAUGCAGCCAGGCCGCGGGUAGGAAGAAGGCCUUCGGGUUGUAAAGUACUUUCAGCGAGGAGGCGUUACUCGCAGAAGAAGCACCGGCUAACUCCGUGCCAGCCGCCGCGGUAAUAC